UACGGGGGGGGCAAGCGUUGUUCGGAAUUACUGGGCGUAAAGGGCUCGUAGGCGGCCAACUAAGUCCGACGUGAAAUCCCCAGGCUUAACCUGGGAACUGCGUCGGAUACUGGAUGGCUUGAAUCCGGGAGAGGGAUGCGGAAUUCCAGGUGUAGCGGUGAAAUGUGUAGAGAUCGGGAGGAACACCGGUGGCGAAGGCGGGUCUCUGGGCAUCUCCUGACGCUGAGGCGCGAAAGCGUGGGGAGCAAACGGG
rnacentral:rRNA from 1 species